GAUGAACGCUGGCGGUAUGCUUAACACAUGCAAGUCGAACGGACUCUUCGGAGUUAGUGGCGGACGGGUGAGUAACGCGUGAGAAUCUGGCUUUGGGUUCGGGACAACCACUGGAAACGGUGGCUAAUACCGGAUGUGCCGAGAGGUAAAAGAGAAAUUGCCUGAAGAUGAGCUCGCGUCUGAUUAGCUAGUUGGUGAGGCAAAGGCUCACCAAGGCAGCGAUCAGUAGCUGGUCUGAGAGGAUGACCAGCCACACUGGGACUGAGACACGGCCCAGACUCCUACGGGAGGCAGCAGUGGGGAAUUUUCCGCAAUGGGCGAAAGCCUGACGGAGCAAUACCGCGUGAGGGAAGAAGGCUCUUGGGUUGUAAACCUCUUUUCUUAGGGAAGAACAAAAUGACGGUACCUAAGGAAUCAGCAUCGGCUAACUCCGUG
rnacentral:rRNA from 1 species